rnacentral:rRNA from 1 species
AACGAACGCUGGCGGCGUGGAUAAGACAUGCAAGUCGAACGGGACAACAUCUGUAGCAAUACAGGUGUUGUUUAGUGGCGAACGGGUGCGUAACACGUGGGCAAUCUGCCGAGAAGUGGGGGAUAGCUCGCCGAAAGGCGAAUUAAUACCGCAUAUGAUCAGUGAAGACAUCUUCACGACAUCAAAGCCGGGGCAACCUGGCGCUUCUUGAUGAGCCCGCGGCCUAUCAGCUAGUUGGUGAGGUAACGGCUCACCAAGGCUAUGACGGGUAGCUGGUCUGAGAGGACGACCAGUCACACUGGAACUGAGACACGGUCCAGACACCUACGGGUGGCAGCAGUCGAGAAUUUUUCUCAAUGGGGCAACCCUGAAGGAGCGACGCCGCGUGGA